AUUGAACGCUGGCGGCAGGCCUAACACAUGCAAGUCGAACGAGUGGCGGACGGGUGAGUAAUGUCUGGGAAACUGCCCGAUGGAGGGGGAUAACUACUGGAAACGGUAGCUAAUACCGCAUACCAUCGGAUGUGCCCAGAUGGGAUUAGCUAGUAGGUGGGGUAACGGCUCACCUAGGCGACGAUCCCUAGCUGGUCUGAGAGGAUGACCAGCAACACGGGAACUGAGACACGGGCCAGACUCGUACGGGAGGCAGAAGUGGGGAAUAUUGGACAAUGGGCGCAGGCCUGAUGCAGCCAUGCCGCGUGUAUGAAGAAGGCCUUCGGGUUGUAAAGUACUUUCAGCGGGGAGGCGGUACCCGCAGAAGAAGCAACGGCUAACUCCGUGCCAGCAGCCGCGGUAAUUC
rnacentral:rRNA from 1 species